ACCUAGCCCUGAUUGAAGUGAAGAUCUUUUUUUGUCACCCUGAGCGAAGUCGAAGGGCAAAAAAGAUCGGAGCGCAAAGCAGGACUAACG
rnacentral:sRNA from 2 species